AGAGUUUGAUCCUGGCUCAGAGCGAACGCUGGCGGCAGGCUUAACACAUGCAAGUCGAGCGGGCGUAGCAAUACGUCAGCGGCAGACGGGUGAGUAACGCGUGGGAACGUACCUUUUGGUUCGGGACAACACAGGGAAACUUGUGCUAAUACCGGAUAAGCCCUUACGGGGAAAGAUUUAUCGCCGAAAGAUCGGCCCGCGUCUGAUUAGCUAGUUGGUGAGGUAAUGGCUCACCAAGGCGACGAUCAGUAGCUGGUCUGAGAGGAUGAUCAGCCACAUUGGGACUGAGACACGGCCCAAACUCCUACGGGAGGCAGCAGUGGGGAAUAUUGGACAAUGGGCGCAAGCCUGAUCCAGCCAUGCCGCGUGAGUGAUGAAGGCCCUAGGGUUGUAAAGCUCUUUUGUGCG
rnacentral:rRNA from 1 species